AUUUCUAUCAACUUAUUACUUGGGUUGUUUUUGUUUCUCAAACUUUCUUCACCGAUCUGUUUCUCUGCAACAAUCUAUGAAACGCAAAAAUGCAAUAUAGGGUUUAUAGAAAAGACUUUAUCUUGUUCAAAUGAAUCCUGGGCUCGGUGCUAUAGGCGGUGAUUGAGAAACAAGGGAUUGAUAGAUUGUGCUGAAGAGCUUUAGUGUGUUUUCAGAAAAUGAUACGAAUCUUAAAGAUUAAGCCCCUAAUAUCUACGCUUGAGUCUUCUUCAAGCCACCACUUCCUUCAGAGGUGCUCUGUGAGUGGGACUGCAAAGGGUAAGUCGAAAGAAGCCCGAGGAAGCUGAAAUGCCUGGCAUUUCGUGAGUGUGUAUCUUCGGGAUCAUUUCAGUCGUACUGCAAGAUAGCAAACUGCUUGUGAGGCUCCCAGCCAGCAUCUAUGAGUUAAAAUCUCUGAAGAACUUGAUCUCUCUGGUCGCUUUAGAAUCAAGAAGUUCCCAGAAGUCUUGGAGGUAAUGGAAUGUCUCGAGUUUCUUCGUGUACAUAAUUAAGAAAUUGUAGAGGUACCCUCGUCAAUUGAAAAUUUCGUUGGGCUUAAAACACUAGAUUCAUGUGGAAGCCUUGAGUUUGUCCCGAACAGCAUCUACAAUUUAAACGUUCUUGAGCAUUUCUCAGUGACUUACAGGCUGCGUGAAACUGAAAAGAUUGCCUCCCAUGUCAGUGAUUUUGUGCCCUUGAUAUCUCUAGACCUCAGUGAUUGCCAAUUUUUAGAAGAAAUCCCUGAUGGCCUCAUUGGCUCAACCUCAUUGCAAAGACUAAAUCUGAGUGGAACCAUGAUUCAGACCAUCAAUUCAACAAUCAAACAAGCGUCUGGGCUCAAGUAUCUGAACACAAGUAACUGCAAGCGCCUUCAAUCUUUGCCAGAGCUCCCAUGUCUUCCAACUUCGGUGGCAAAUGGCUGCCCGACACCGAAGACGGUGUCAUAGCCAAUGACUGCACCCACGCAAGAUUUGAAUCAGAGGCAUUCAUUUUUUGCUUCUAUAAAUUUGGAUGAGAAUACAAAAAGCAACAUGAUGGAUGAUGCACGGCUCAGAAUUGUGAGAAUGGCAACAGAUCAUCAUUAUAUGGUACCGUUACUCUAAUAUGUCCGGGAACUGAGAUCCCAAAGUAGUUCAGCUGUGAAAAGGAGGGAUCUUCAAUAAAAACCAAGCUUCCUCUGCACUUGUCUGAUGAUAAAAACUUCUUGGGAUUUGCUCUGUCGGCUGUUUUGCCAUUCUAUACAGCACAUUCUGUCACACUUCAAUGUGAAUGCAAUCUCACAACCAACAAUGAGCGAAGCCAUCAACUUAGUUUAUUUCAUUCUCAUUCCCAUAUAGCCAGGGUUGAUGGCCUCGAGGAUGAACAUUCAGAUCACCUGUCAAUGGUGUACAGAUCCCUUUCACUUCCAGACACAGCAAAAUGGUCCACUGAAGUUUCUUUUGACUUCUCUGCUAAACUUGAUGGUCAGUUCAUUGAGGUGAAAAGGUGUGGUGUGUGCUUUUUGUAUGCCCAAGGCCAGGAUCAUGAUUCUCUGAAAUUUGAAGUCAUUGAUACAGAACACGCUACUAGUGGAAUUGGAACUUCCAGUGAGUCUGAAUCUGGUGAAAGUGAAACUUCUAGUGAGUAUGAAUAUAGUGAAAGUGAAACUUCUACUUGGAGAGCUUUCUUUCAAUGAUGCUCGGAAGUUUUAUCAUUAAAUAAAAUCCCAAAAACAUGGGUUUCGCAACUGCAUAAUGGAAUAUUUGUUUGCUGUCUUUCACAACUACAUUUCUACAUUCUGUAAUUUAAUAUUUCUUUGUUCUGUUUUGCACUUUUGUACAGAUGUCCAGAACUUGAAUUUUGUUAUGAAGUAAUCAACUGCCUCUCAACCGUCAAUCUAUUUAUCGACUCU